rnacentral:lncRNA from 1 species
GACUGAUCACAGAGGUCAGUGCUGGGUGAAGAAGGGAGGACCUGCCUCACACUGUUUGGGGAUCGGGCCGCUGCUGACUGGAUGGGUGUGGAAUGCCUCGGUGCCUAGGAACCAAGCCAAGGAAAGUGAGCGGUUUUAGAGACUGCCUUCUCAACACCCGUGGUAUUAAAUGCCCACCACGAAUGAUUUACUAGAGAAUUGAGAAUCAACAUGAUUAAUCAAAGCAGUGUUCUGGGCUUUUGAGUAGCCCAGGGGGUCAGUGUGGGAGUAUUUCCCCUCCUCCCUUGUCCUGGGAGUCCAGAGCCCGCCAUACAGUGUCUAUCUGUGCUGAGAUAAAAAUGACUACCUUCCUCCCUGAGGGAUGCUCUCAUUGCACAGCUGAAACCAAGUGCCACUCCUUGCCCCUACCCCCAGAUUGCCCUGGAGUGCCCUGCUCCCUCUGUUACCUCUUUUCCAGAGCCUGUGCUCACUUCCUAAGGACAGGAAAGUACUCCCACUCCAUACCAUAGAAAGAGGAAAUUUUCCCUUCCUUUCUUUGUAGACACAAAGAAAAAUGUCAAAUAAAAAGUGCAUUUCUUCAUCUAUAUUCCCCAGCCAAGAACUCCCUUCACAAAGUAGAAAGUACCACUAUGGACAGAAGAAGGAGGAAAAAAAAAAAAAAAAAAAAAAAAAAAACUUCCUUUUCUGAAAGGAGCACUCAUGGCAUCUGAUGCUACCAGAAUGCUGAAUGACAGCAAGGUUGCUGUGAGCUGUAGGUUCCCAAUGGCGUCAGUGUCAUUCCUAUGAGGCCUGUGCCAAGUUGGUGAUGGAUAGGAACAGGGGACACCUUCGGUGGCAGUGAGGUAGACCCCAGGCCCAGGAAAACCAAGGGCAUGACUGUGGCCACCCACCUGUCUAGCAUGAGCCACUAGAGAAGUUCCAUCCUUUUGUAAUGCCUUUGCAUUUUAAUGGAUUAAUGUGGUAGACCCAGUACUCAGGGGAUUUUUCCUUAAAUGCUCCUCGGAUGUUUUAGGUAUUCCGUUAGAAGUAGAAGACCACAAUUUUUCUUGAAAUUGAAAGAGGCCGUCUGGUAAUGAGUUUGUCAAGGUUUCCCCUUUGCAGGGCACGUGGGUCUUGAGUUUCAUAGGACAUCCGUUUGUGAUGGGGCAGAGCGGGGUGAGUUGGUCUCACAGGUCUUGUGUGCUCCUUGUGUUCGUUCCUACAAUGGUUGAGAAGUGGAGACAGUGCAGAGCUCAGCUGAAAAGGGACUCGUGAUGCUUCCCAUACACUGUGUCCCCGGUGUAAUGUUUGUAACUGAUGUCUGUUAAUUUCUAUGCAUUUUAAUAUUUUUUAAUUAAUGAGCAUUUUAAUAAAAUCAGUUUUACAAAC